rnacentral:rRNA from 1 species
GUAGGUGGCAAGCGUUGUCCGGAAUUAUUGGGCGUAAAGCGCGCGCAGGCGGUUCUUUAAGUCUGAUGUGAAAGCCCACGGCUCAACCGUGGAGGGUCAUUGGAAACUGGAGAACUUGAGUACAGAAGAGGAAAGCGGAAUUCCACGUGUAGCGGUGAAAUGCGUAGAGAUGUGGAGGAACACCAGUGGCGAAGGCGGCUUUCUGGUCUGUAACUGACGCUGAGGCGCGAAAGCGUGGGGAGCAUACAGGAUUAGAUACCCUGGUAGUCCACGCCGUAAACGAUGAGUGCUAAGUGUUAGGGGGUUUCCGCCCCUUAGUGCUGCAGCUAACGCAUUAAGCACUCCGCCUGGGAGUACGGCCGCAAGGCUG